rnacentral:lncRNA from 1 species
UGGAUUUUUGAAGAGUUUUUAAACUAAUUUGUGGUGGCUUGGUUUUCCACAAAAACUGUGAGAUGUAGGAGUCUAAUGUCUCGAACCACGCCUGGGCUGGCUGAGUUGGAAUCAUUGAGUGUAUGUAAUUAAUUUUUGGCAGGAUCAUCAUUUUUAUGGUGGCAAUUCUUCCCAUAAGUGAAAUGGGUAAGGACUGUCAUCUUUUGAGGUUGGCUUCUAUUUGUUUUAAUAAUAGAUUGUAGUUUAGAUCAAUAAGCUCUGAUAGCCUAGACGACAAUACAAUGCCCAAGUAUUUAAAGGGCCCAUAUCAUGCAAAAUCCACUUUUUAGACAUUUUGGAGCGUCCCUAUGACUCUAUGGGUCACAUAUACACACACUGAGCACGGUAGAAAUGCAUUUCCUGCUUUUUUCACAUUUUGAAAACGUAAAUUUUCUCAUCCAAUGAAAACAGCCACGACCUACUCUGAGGCCGUGUCCCAGUUGUCGUCACACUGGUUGAAAGUUCUCCUUGCAAAUCCUGAACCACCACCCCCACAAUGAUCCCGAACCAAAACUGGACUUUCGCCAUUUCCCCCCUCUCACUCACCGUGAACAGACCAGCACGGCAGCGCCCAAGUCCUCCCAUAGAAAUAGUUCGGUUCUUAGGUGUUCUAACCAACACCAAAGUCUCUUCACUUUACCAAGGGAUCAACAAGUGAGGAUUUGUGGGUCACUUUUAUUUUUAACGGACCGGUGCCAGAAACACUGCCUCAGCAUUUAUACGUAUGUGCAUUUCAAACGAGGGUGCGUACAAUGCUGGAUUUGUUUCACGGCUCCUGUUGGAAAAAAAAGGACCUAUUCCUAAAGUCCGUCAUCCACUCACUGAAGAGGGCAAAUCCCAGUUGCCCACAUGCAAGGAGGCUGUCAAACAGAGAAAUCACUGCAGACUGUUGGUACACAGACAUCUGCUGCCCAGCUCAGGAGUGAAGGUAUGUAAGUUUGUAUGUACCAACAGUAAGAUAGGUAAUAGAAGAUUUUAA